rnacentral:rRNA from 1 species
CAGCGUUAUCCGGAAUCAUUGGGCGUAAAGAGCUCGUAGGCGGUUUNUCGCGUCUGCCGUGAAAGUCCGGGGCUCAACUCCGGAUCUGCGGUGGGUACGGGCAGACUAGAGUGAUGUAGGGGAGACUGGAAUUCCUGGUGUAGCGGUGAAAUGCGCAGAUAUCAGGAGGAACACCGAUGGCGAAGGCAGGUCUCUGGGCAUUAACUGACGCUGAGGAGCGAAAGCAUGGGGAGCGAACAGGAUUAGAUACCCUGGUAGUCCAUGCCGUAAACGUUGGGAACUAGGUGUGGGGGACAUUCCACGUUUUCCGCGCCGUAGCUAACGCAUUAAGUGCCCCGCCUGGGGAGUACGGCCGCAAGGCUAAAACUCAAAGGAAUUGACGGGGGCCCGCACAAGCGGCGGAGCAUGCGGAUUAAUUCGAUGCAACGCGAAGAACCUUACCAAGGCUUGACAUGAACCGGAAAGACCUAGAAAUAGGUGCCCCGCUUGCGGUCGGUUUACAGGUGGUGCAUGGUUGUCGUCAGCUCGUGUCGUGAGAUGUUGGGUUAAGUCCCGCAACGAGCGCAACCCUCGUUCUAUGUUGCCAGCACGUUAUGGUGGGGACUCAUAGGAGACUGCCGGGGUCAACUCGGAGGAAGGUGAGGACGACGUCAAAUCAUCAUGCCCCUUAUGUCUUGGGCUUCACGCAUGCUACAAUGGCCGGUACAAUGGGUUGCGAUACUGUGAGGUGGAGCUAAUCCCAAAAAGCCGGUCUCAGUUCGGAUUGGGGUCUGCAACUCGACCCCAUGAAGUCGGAGUCGCUAGUAAUCGCAGAUCAGCAACGCUGCGGUGAAUACGUUCCCGGGCCUUGUACACACCGCCCCUUAA